AGAAUGUGUAUAAUAAUUGUACUAUGUUCAUACAAUGCAGUGCUGUGCAACUUUAAAAAUGAAGAAACUCCCAUGACAGUCAACUACAUGGAUGACGAUAUUAGAUAUAAAGUGAAAGAAAGAAGGAGAAAGAAGCUAGAAGGCUCUCACCAAUGGCCAAACACAGGCACCCACCCAGUCUUGAACUUUUAAUUUCAAAAACUGCAAGUGUCACCCUUGUGAAGAAUUGCAAGGCACUAUUCAUACUCAGCAUUCCAAAAAUUACCAUUUUACAGUAUGAUUCUGGCAGUUCCAGUACAGACUCUGCAACAUACAUACUCUGAUGUUAAAAUGCCAGCAGCACUGAGAUUCUUGGAAAGUCCUAGAGAACAGAGGAAGAAGAAAACAUGUGGAAGAAAAGAUAAGAAGAGCAGCAUUACUUCUAGGACAACCCUAGUGGGGAUAAAAGUCAGAAGUGCUGAAAAUAAGCAAAAGAUGAGCUUGUUUCUUGUCCUUUUUCCAGGCAUAUAAAGUAAUAUUUCAGUGCCAAUAUUAUGUUUUCCUUCCUUCCUACUCCAUUCUUCCUUCUCACCCCUUGGUUUAUGCUGCCAUCAGUUCAUGUCAGUGUCCUUGUCUUCCUGUCCCUGUUUAUCUUCUUCCUGGGAAUAUUCUCAUGCACUUCCUUCUCCCUCCUCACUUCAGCCAAGUUCAUCAAUUUGACUCCCCUGUGAAUCCCACCUUCAUAACAUAACAGGAAGUAUAUCAAAUACACUAGAUCGAACCAUUGGAGUGAUUCUGCCUCAGGUUUCUUUCUUUCCCAAAAGACACAGGUUGAAAGGGAUCUUGCAUAUUCUUGCAAUCCAGCCUUGUUUCUCAUCGUAUUUGGAUCCAGCCACUUACACAGGCUUCUAAAUGUGAGGAAAUCUCCCUGGUUUUUCUUGUCUUUGUUCUUCCAUUCUUGUCAUCUACUUGGUUACAGUAUCCUGACCAGAUGCUGAAUUUCACUGACUCUUCAUUGGCUUGAAUACAGUCUUUAAACGUUCCUAGUCUUUUCAUUCACCUCUGCCCCUCCCCCCACUACUUUGACCUUAUUCUUUUGUAAAUAUCCUAAUUUCUUUCAGGAAUCAGGACUAUCAUAAGUAGAUAAGUAAAUUUUAAAAAGGAAAACACAGCCGAGAAUUCUCUGAUUUGCUUGUGUCCAUGCCGAGCCAGAGCUGACCUACUUGUCGCUGACAGCUGCUUCAGUCCAUGACCAGGACUUGACCCCUCCAGGCACCAUCUUGCAUUUUUCUCUAUUUACCACCCACCCAGAUCUGCAACAGCUACACACACUUUUUAUUCUAAAAACUCUCCUUUCAUCAUUUUGUUUCAUCUUCAUUUAAGAACUCGCAAAAUUCAACCGUUUAACAUGACUUUCAAAUUAUACAGUGUUUCUCACUGGCACCUAGAUAUUCCCGCAAACUACAAAUAAGGGGAAUAUUUUCCUGUUACACAGAAAAAUUAAAUAAAUAGAAUCACUUUUCCCAUUUUUAUGCCCGUCAAUAUUUCUGUUAUUCGGAGCACACAGUAAAAGCCUAAAUACUCGACAGU